rnacentral:lncRNA from 1 species
AUGGUGCGUUCUGGUCUCCACUUUGUUUCUCCGUCCUUCGGUGCAGGGCCGGGGAGGGGGCUCCGGGGCCUCGGGGGCCUCGGGGAGGGAGCCGCAGAGGGGCCGGGGCGCCGGCUCUCGGGGCGCGCGAGCCGAGCGGGGAGCCCGCUGCCCUGGGCACGUCGCGGCCGGGGCCGCCUGUGGAGCGUGGACGCGAGCGAGCCCGGGGCGGUGCCGCGGCGCCGGGGCCCGACAGGUGCGCCCCCGCCCCCCGCCUCGCGUCCCCCGCGCCCGCUCUCCCGCGUUCCCAGCGGGGGGUCGGGGGCGCCCCCAGGCCCGGAAACGCCGCCGCGGGGUGCGGGAGGCCGGCGAGGGAGCGGACCCUGCGCGCCCCGAGGGGCCGCCCCUGUCCCCGGGCGCCCGGCCUGGGCUCGUCCCCUUCCCCUCGCCGGGGCCUGCGGCGCUGCGGCUGCUCUGCCCCCGGGGCCCGGCCCGGUGCCCACGCGCGGAGGGACGGCGGAGCGCAGGACACGGCGCCCGGGGCCGACUCGGCGCGCAGGGGAGCGCGGGGCCCGAGGGGGGCGCCGACGGGGGGCGCUGCUCUCACGGCCCGGCGCCGGGGCCUCGGGGUGCACUCGGGGGGGCGCUGCUCUCCCACGGCCGGGCGCCGGGGCCUCGGGGUGCACUCGGGGGGGCGCUGCUCUCACGGCCCGGCGCCGGGGCCUCGGGGUGCACUCGGGGGGGCGCUGCUCUCCCACGGCCGGGCGCCGGGGCCUCGGGGUGCACUCGGGGGGGCGCUGCUCUCCCACGGCCGGGCGCCGGGGCCUCGGGGUGCACUCGGGGGGGCGCUGCUCUCCCACGGCCGGGCGCCGGGACCUCGGGGCGCACGCGGGGGGGCACGGGGGGGCGCUGCUCUCCCACUGCGGGGCGCCGGGGCCUCGGGGUGCACUCGGGGGGCGCACGCGGGGGGGCGUUGCUCUCCCACGGCCCGGGCGCCGGGGCCUCCGGGUGCACGCGGGGGGGGGGGGGGGGCGCUGCUCUCCCACGGCCCGGGCGCCGGGGCCUCGGGGCGCACGCGGGGGGGUCGACACGCGGGGGGGCGCUGCUCUCCCACGGCCGGGACCUCGGGGUGCACGGGGUGGGGCUGCUCUCCCCGGCCGGGACCUCGGGGUGCUCGGGGUGGGGCUGUUCUCCCCGGCCGGGACCUCGGGGUGCUCGGGGGGGGGCUGCUCUCCCCGGCCGGGGCCUCGGGGCGCAGGGGGGGCGCUGCUCUCCCACGGCCGGGGCGGCGGGGCGGCGGGGGCUCCAGGCCGCGCGGCGGCGUUGCGGCCGCUUCCCCCGCGGGCUGCUGCGCUGGGAGCCGCUCGGCUGGGAGGGAGCGCACAGCCGGGGCGGCGGCGGGGGCGGCGGGGGCGGCGGGGGCAGCCAGCUAACUUCCAGCGGGGCUGCUCGGCGCUGGGGCGAAGAGUAAGUGUGCGCGCGUGUGCGUGUGCGUGUGCGUGUGCGUGUGCGCGCCUGGUCUGA